rnacentral:rRNA from 1 species
UAGGGAAUCUUCGGCAAUGGACGAAAGUCUGACCGAGCAACGCCGCGUGAGUGAAGAAGGUUUUCGGAUCGUAAAACUCUGUUGUUAGAGAAGAACAAGGACGUUAGUAACUGAACGUCCCCUGACGGUAUCUAACCAGAAAGCCACGGCUAACUACGUGCCAGCAGCCGCGGUAAUACGUAGGUGGCAAGCGUUGUCCGGAUUUAUUGGGCGUAAAGCGAGCGCAGGCGGUUUCUUAAGUCUGAUGUGAAAGCCCCCGGCUCAACCGGGGAGGGUCAUUGGAAACUGGGAGACUUGAGUGCAGAAGAGGAGAGUGGAAUUCCAUGUGUAGCGGUGAAAUGCGUAGAUAUAUGGAGGAACACCAGUGGCGAAGGCGGCUCUCUGGUCUGUAACUGACGCUGAGGCUCGCAAGCGUGGGGAGCAAACAGG